GUAACUUAAAUUUUUAUGGAGUUGGCACAGCGCCCCUAGCGGCAAACGUAGGUAAACGUUCCAACUCCAUACAAAUUUGAGUUA
rnacentral:pre_miRNA from 1 species